CCUCGCUCCCGGGACUCGCCAGCGAGGGAUGCCGCCGGCCGCCGGGGGCCUUCUCCAGGACCAGGAGAGAAAUCCUCUCUCCGCUUCACGACGCGGCCACUCCCACCCCUGAGACGCCCACCUGGCGGACUCUGAGGGAGGAUUCGGCUGCGUCUAAUACCACCUCCACCCCUCAUCCCUCACAAUGCGCGGAAAACCACAGGCGGCUGUGCGCGCAGCGUCGGCUCAGCCACCGCAGCUCCUCCCCUGGGUAAGUUAGAGGGGAGCAGCCACCACUAAAAAUAGCCCUUCUGGGAACUCCUCCGAAGGCCAGGGUCAGGAUGAAGAUAACCCCUCCACAGGAGAAGCGAAGGCCUCCUAAGAGAAGGGUGGGGAGGGGACGGUGGGAUAGAAUGAGGAAGAUGGAGAAGGAGAAAAGCAAAACCCAAUAUCCUUGGAUCAUGAAGCCCUUGAGCCCCUUGACAACCAAGUCUCCUUUCAGGCCGGAAUCCCCAACUGCACCGCCCCUGCAAUACGGGCUAAGGGGCAGAUUCCAGGGAGACUCAGUUGGAAUGCCCCGCCUACAGCUCCCGCAUAAAGGAGUUGACGGUGCACAGCAAAACCACCUGUUGUUUAACGAGUAUGGAGGGAGGGGUUCUCUCUCAUUGAUUGAUCUGAACCGUGCUUUUCUUCUCCCCAUUUUCCCACCCAAUUUCAGGAUGAAAAAGCACUCUGACGUCUUGAAAGCUGGCAGCUCUCUGUUUGGAAAAUCUCUGCCCAGUGAAAAAAUGUACCGACAAGAUUACUAAGUAACACAGUCUUCUGGGAAUGCCUUAUCAAUGCCAGCUAUUUGAAGAGCACCCAAAGUCAAACUAGUGCUCCGCGCUGGCAGUCUGGAAAAGGCAGAUGUAUUGUUAAACAGGAAAUGGAGAAACAGGCACCAAGAAGAAAGGAGAGAGAUGAGGCGUUCUAUGAACAUCUGUCCCUGAUGAAUUCCAAGGAAAGACGGGCCCACUCAUGAGAGAUCUACUACCCCCCGCAACCCAUGUAUUCUAGGAUCCACGCAGCUCUUUUCAGAAGUUUCAUCAGUUAUACCUGCUUCCCUGAGAGCUGAAUGUUCUGACUAAAGGCAAGUUUUGCUCUCCUAUAGCCACAAUGUGGGCAUUCAUUAGCUAUGCCAAUCAGUUGCUCAGACUCGGACUUUGAACCGGGGCUAACAUUACAAAGAAGUGGAAGCCAUGAAGAAUCUAUUCUGUGGGAGGCCUAGGGUCACAACAGCAGCAACAUCAAGUUUUCAAGAACAGAAGCAGUGCUCUGAGCUGAUAUACUCUAUAAAUGAUGUCCUUCUGCUCCACAUGCAUGCGGAAUCUUUUCACUUUUUCAAAGAUGGCUUUGGCCUGUUCACCCUCCUUCUUGUCCAGGACACUGGAAGUUGGGCUUUCUAUGCCAGCUGACUCCAAACCUGGCUGUGGGUAGGGCAAUGACUGUUUGCCGGAAUCUAUGUCA
rnacentral:lncRNA from 1 species